rnacentral:tRNA from 1 species
CGGGAUGUGGCGUAGCUUGGUAGCGCGCUUGGUUCGGGACCAAGAGGUCGUGGGUUCGAAUCCCAUCAUCCCGACCA